AAAGACCAGUAACUGGCACAUUCGAAGAAAAGGAAUUUCAUAAUUAAAACGGAUGUUGCAGUUAUUCCGAAAGAGACCUAUGAGACCUAUAACGCAUAUCUAAAACAUAUCAAUAAAAUGGACUUUAUCUGAAACAA